AGUGAACGCUGGCGGUAGGCCUAACACAUGCAAGUCGAACGGCAGCACAGGAGAGCUUGCUCUCUGGGUGGCGAGUGGCGGACGGGUGAGGAAUACAUCGGAAUCUACUCUGUCGUGGGGGAUAACGUAGGGAAACUUACGCUAAUACCGCAUACGACCUACGGGUGAAAGCAGGGGACCUUCGGGCCUUGCGCGAUUGAAUGAGCCGAUGUCGGAUUAGCUAGUUGGCGGGGUAAAGGCCCACCAAGGCGACGAUCCGUAGCUGGUCUGAGAGGAUGAUCAGCCACACUGGAACUGAGACACGGUCCAGACUCCUACGGGAGGCAGCAGUGGGGAAUAUUGGACAAUGGGCGCAAGCCUGAUCCAGCCAUACCGCGUGGGUGAAGAAGGCCUUCGGGUUGUAAAGCCCUUUUGUUGGGAAAGAAAUCCAGCUGGCUAAUACCCGGUUGGGAUGACGGUACCCAAAGAAUAAGCACCGGCUAACUUCGUGCCAGCCGCCGUAAUAC
rnacentral:rRNA from 1 species